AUUGAACGCUGGCGGCAGGCCUAACACAUGCAAGUCGAGCGGAUGAAGGGAGCUUGCUCCUGGAUUCAGCGGCGGACGGGUGAGUAAUGCCUAGGAAUCUGCCUGGUAGUGGGGGAUAACGUCCGGAAACGGGCGCUAAUACCGCAUACGUCCUGAGGGAGAAAGAGGGGGGUCUUCGGAACUCACGCUAUCAGGUGAGCCUAGGUCGGAUUAGUUAGUUUGUUGGGUAAAGGCCUACCUAGGCGACGAUCGGUAACUGGCCUGAGAGGAGGAUCAGUCACACGGGAACUGGGACACGGUCCAGACUCCUACGGGAGGCAGCAGUGGGGAACAUUGGACAAUGGGCGAAAGCCUGAUCCAGCCAUGCCGCGUGUGUGAAGAAGGUCUUCGGAUUGUAAAGCACUUUAAGUUGGGAGGAAGGGCAGUAAGUUAAUACCUUGCUGUUUUGACGUUACCAACAGAAUAAGCACCGGCUAACUUCGUG
rnacentral:rRNA from 1 species